AGGGAUUGCCCCAGUAACGGCGAGUGAAGCGGCAAGAGCUCAAAUUUGAAAGCUGGCUCCUUCGGGGUCCGCAUUGUAAUUUGCAGAGGAUGCUUCGGGAGCGGUCCCCAUCUAAGUGCCCUGGAACGGGACGUCAUAGAGGGUGAGAAUCCCGUAUGGGAUGGGGUGUCCGCGCCCGUGUGAAGCUCCUUCGACGAGUCGAGUUGUUUGGGAAUGCAGCUCUAAAUGGGUGGUAAAUUUCAUCUAAAGCUAAAUAUUGGCCGGAGACCGAUAGCGCACAAGUAGAGUGAUCGAAAGAUGAAAAGCACUUUGAAAAGAGAGUUAAAAAGCACGUGAAAUUGUUGAAAGGGAAGCGCUUGCGACCAGACUCGCUCGCGGGGUUCAGCCGGCAUUCGUGCCGGUGUACUUCCCCGCGAGCGGGCCAGCGUCGGUUUGGGCGGUCGGUCAAAGGCCUCUGGAAGGUAACGCCCCCUCGGGGGCGUCUUAUAGCCAGGGGUGCAAUGCGGCCUGCCCGGACCGAGGAACGCGCUUCGGCUCGGACGCUGGCAUAAUGGUCGUAAGCGACCCGUCUUGAAACACGGACCAAGGAGUCUAACAUCUACGCGAGUGUUCGGGUGUCAAACCCGUGCGCGAAGUGAAAGCGAACGGAGGUGGGAACCCGCAAGGGUGCACCAUCGACCGAUCCUGAAGUCUUCGGAUGGAUUUGAGUAAGAGCGUAGCUGUUGGGGACC
rnacentral:rRNA from 1 species